UACGGAGGGUGCGAGCGUUGUCCGGAAUUACUGGGCGUAAAGGGCGCGUAGGCGGCCUACUAAGUCGGACGUGAAAUCCCUCGGCUCAACCGGGGAACUGCGUCCGAUACUGGUGGGCUCGAAUCCGGGAGAGGGAUGUGGAAUUCCAGGUGUAGCGGUGAAAUGCGUAGAUAUCUGGAGGAACACCGGUGGCGAAGGCGGCAUCCUGGACCGGUAUUGACGCUGAUGCGCGAAAGCCAGGGGAGCAAACGGG
rnacentral:rRNA from 1 species